rnacentral:tRNA from 1 species
GGGAUGAUGGCCGAGUGGUUUAAGGCGGUAGAUUUAAGCUCUACUGGAGCAAUCCGCGUGAGUUCGAACCUCACUCAUCUCA